GUGAAGCGGCAACAGCUCAAAUUUGAAAUCUGGCCCUUGGGUCCGAAUUGUAAUUUGUAGAGGAUGAUUUUGGUGCGGUAUCUUCCGAGUUCCUUGGAACAGGACGCCUUAGAGGGUGAGAGCCCCGUACGGUUGAAUGCCUAGCCUCUGUAAAUCUCCUUCGACGAGUCGAGUAGUUUGGGAAUGCUGCUCUAAAUGGGAGGUAAAUUUCUUCUAAAGCUAAAUACUGGCCAGAGACCGAUAGCGCACAAGUAGAGUGAUCGAAAGAUGAAAAGCACUUUGAAAAGAGGGUUAAAUAGCACGUGAAAUUGUUGAAAGGGAAGGAUUUAUGACCAGACUUUUUCUGGGCGGAUCAUCCGGUGUUCUCACCGGUGCACUUUGCCCAGUUUAGGCCAGCAUCGAUUUUCGGAGAGGGAUAAAAGCUUUGGGAAUGUGGCUCCCCCGGGAGUGUUAUAGCCCAUUGUAUAAUACCUUUUUGGGGAUCGAGGUACGCGCUUCUGCAAGGAUGCUGGCGUAAUGGUUAUCAAUCACCCGUCUUGAAACACGGACCAAGGAGUCGAACAUUUGUGCGAGUGUUUGGGUGUUAAACCCUCACGCGUAAUGAAAGUGAACGGAGGUGAGAGCCCUUACGGGUGCAUCAUCGACCGAUCCUGAAGUUUUCGGAUGGAUUUGAGUAAGAGCAUAACUGUUCGGACCCGAAAGAUGGUGAACUAUGCGUGGAUAGGGUGAAGCCAGAGGAAACUCUGGUGGAGGCUCGCAGCGGUUCUGACGUGCAAAUCGAUCGUCAAAUCUGCGCAUGGGGGCGAAAGACUAAUCGAACCAUCU
rnacentral:rRNA from 1 species